rnacentral:rRNA from 1 species
AACGAACGCUGGCGGCAGGCUUAACACAUGCAAGUCGAGCGCCCCGCAAGGGGAGCGGCAGACGGGUGAGUAGCGCGUGGGAAUCUACCCAUCCCUACGGAAUAGCUCCGGGAAACUGGAAUUAAUACCGUAUACGCCCUACGGGGGAAGGAUUUAUCGGGGAUGGAUGAGCCCGCGUUGGAUUAGCUAGUUGGUGGGGUAAAGGCCUACCAAGGCGACGAUCCAUAGCUGGUCUGAGAGGAUGAUCAGCCACAUUGGGACUGAGACACGGCCCAAACUCCUACGGGAGGCAGCAGUGGGGAAUAUUGGACAAUGGGGGCAACCCUGAUCCAGCCAUGCCGCGUGAGUGAUGAAGGCCUUAGGGUUGUAAAGCUCUUUCACCGGGGAAGAUAAUGACGGUACCCGGAGAAGAAGCCCCGGCUAACUUCGUGCCAGCCGCCGCAGUAACAC